GUAACCAUUUAUGGAGCUAGCCGUCGAAGGUGGGACAAAUGAUUGGGGUGAAGUCGUAACAAGGUAGCCGUAUCGGAAGGUGCGGCUGGAUCACCUCCUUUCUAAGGA
rnacentral:rRNA from 4 species